rnacentral:rRNA from 1 species
GACGAACGCUGGCGGCGUGCUUAACACAUGCAAGUCGAACGGAAAGGCCCUGCUUGCAGGGUACUCGAGUGGCGAACGGGUGAGUAACACGUGGGUGAUCUGCCCUGCACUUCGGGAUAAGCCUGGGAAACUGGGUCUAAUACCGGAUAGGAGCCAUUUUUAGUGUGAUGGUUGGAAAGUUUUUUCGGUGUAGGAUGAGCUCGCGGCCUAUCAGCUUGUUGGUGGGGUAAUGGCCUACCAAGGCGGCGACGGGUAGCCGGCCUGAGAGGGUGGACGGCCACAUUGGGACUGAGAUACGGCCCAGACUCCUACGGGAGGCAGCAGUGGGGAAUAUUGCACAAGGGGCGCAAGCCUGAUGCAGCGACGCCGCGUGGGGGAUGACGGCCUUCGGGUUGUAAACGCCGUUCGCUAGGGACGAAGCUUUUUGUGACGGUACCUAGAGAAGAAGCACCGGCUAACUACGUG